rnacentral:tRNA from 1 species
GGUCAUAGCUCAUUGGUAGAGUGCUUGCCCAGCAUGUGUGAGGCCCUGGGUUUGAUUCUCAGCACCA